AUACUUAAGUAGUAAUAGUUAUGAUCUUGAAACUUAAAGAAUUUGGCGGUAUUUUAAUCCUUUCAGAGGAACCUGUUCUGUAAUCGAUAUUCCACGUUAAAUUUUACUAAAUAAUUUGUAUAUCGUUGUCGUAAGAAUAAAUUUUCUAAAAUUAUUAUUAUAAUUUAUGUCAAAUCAAGGUGCAGUUUAUAAUUUAGAAGAAAUGGGUUACAAUAAAAAUAUUUAGGAGUUUAAUGAAGGAGGAUUUGGAAGUAAAUUAAUUUUAUUAAAUUUAAUUGAUGUUGGUUCUAAAAUAUGU
rnacentral:rRNA from 1 species